rnacentral:tRNA from 1 species
GCAAGAGAAGCUGAACGGUAAACCAAUAACCAAUCUAGCGAUUGGACGUGGUCGGUAACAAGGCGACACUAGGUUUUUCAGCACUGAAUGUUACUAAGAGGUUGUAGGUUCGAAUCCUAUCUCUUGCACCA